UACGUAGGGUGCAAGCGUUGUCCGGAAUUAUUGGGCGUAAAGAGCUCGUAGGCGGCUUGUUGCGUCAGCUGUGAAAACCCGCAGCUCAACUGUGGGCUUGCAGCUGAUACGGGCAGGCUUGAGUUCGGUAGGGGAGACUGGAAUUCCUGGUGUAGCGGUGAAAUGCGCAGAUAUCAGGAGGAACACCGGUGGCGAAGGCGGGUCUCUGGGCCGAAACUGACGCUGAGGAGCGAAAGCGUGGGGAGCGAACAGG
rnacentral:rRNA from 1 species